GACGAACGCUGGCGGCGUGCUUAACACAUGCAAGUCGAACGGAAAGGCCCUGCUUUUGUGGGGUGCUCGAGUGGCGAACGGGUGAGUAACACGUGAGUAACCUGCCCCUGACUUUGGGAUAACUUCAGGAAACUGGGGCUAAUACCGGAUAGGAGUUCCUGCUGCAUGGUGGGGGUUGGAAAGUUUCGGCGGUUGGGGAUGGACUCGCGGCGUAUCAGCUUGUUGGUGGGGUAGUGGCUUACCAAGGCUUUGACGGGUAGCCGGGCUGGGAGGGUGACCGGCCACAUUGGGACUGGACUGCGGCCCAGACUCCUACGGGAGGCAGCGGUGGGGAAUAUUGCACAAUGGGCGGAAGCCUGAUGCAGCAACGCCGCGUGCGGGAUGACGGCCAUCGGGUUGUAAACCGCUUUCGCCUGUGACGAAGCGUGAGUGACGGUAAUGGGUAAAGAAGCACCGGCUAACUACGUG
rnacentral:rRNA from 1 species